rnacentral:rRNA from 1 species
AGGACGAACGCUGGCGGCAUGCCUAACACAUGCAAGUCGAACGGGGGUAGCAAUACCCUAGUGGCGAACGGGUGAGUAACACAUAAGCAAUCUGCCCUUCACAGGGGGAUAACAGCGGGAAACUGCUGCUAAUACCGCAUAAGACCACGGUACCGCAUGGUACAGGGGUAAAAACGAAUCAGUGGUGAAGGAUGAGCUUAUGUCCCAUUAGCUAGUUGGUGAGAUAACAGCCCACCCAGGCGACGAUGGGUAGCCGACCUGAGAGGGUGAUCGGCCACACUGGAACUGAGACACGGUCCAGACUCCUACGGGAGGCAGCAGUGGGGAAUAUUGGGCAAUGGAGGAAACUCCUUACCCAGCAAUGCCGCGUGAGUGAAGAAGGUCUUCGGAUUGUAAAGCUCUUUGAUUGGGGACGAAGAAAGUGACGGUACCCAAAGAACAAGCCCCGGCUAACUACGUGCCAGCAGCUGC